GAAAAAAAUGUCCGCCUGAAGAGACCCACAAGUUCUAUUCGGGGGGACCGACAGCCCGCCCCGGGAGGAAGGGGCGGCCAGGCCCGAAAGCCGCCUCCCCCUCCCAGACCCGAGAGCUCGUGCGGGGCAAAGUGAACCGAGCCGCUGGGCGGUGCAAGGGGAAGCCCAAGCCCGUUCUCCCGGCCAAAGUGAACUUUAAUCGGGGUGGUUGGAUGCGGAGACGGGGCGGCAGGACCUGCUAGAAGUGGCCGAAGAUGAAUCCCCAGCAACAACGCAUGGCCGCUAUAGGGACCGACAAGGAGCUGAGCGACCUACUGGACUUCAGUGCGAUGUUUUCCCCACCUGUUAAUAGUGGGAAAACUAGACCAACUACACUGGGAAGCAGUCAAUUCAGUGGAUCAGCAGUACUAAUGAAGAUGAGGAUUUGAACCCUGAACAGAAGAUAGAAAGGGAGAAGGAGAGGCGGAUGGCUAACAAUGCCAGAGAACGCUUACGCGUGCGGGAUAUUAAUGAAGCCUUCAAAGAGCUUGGCCGAAUGUGUCAGCUUCACUUGAAGAGUGAAAAACCCCAAACAAAACUCCUUAUUCUUCAUCAAGCCGUGGCAGUCAUCCUUAGUCUAGAACAGCAAGUCAGAGAGAGGAACCUUAACCCCAAAGCAGCCUGCCUUAAGAGAAGGGAAGAAGAAAAAGUUUCUGCCGUAUCGGCAGAGCCGCCAACCACACUGCCAGGAACCCAUCCUGGGCUUAGUGAAACUACCAACCCUAUGGGUCAUAUGUAAACAUCAGCCAGUUCCAGAGUUAUCAGUAGGCUAGAUAGAAGGUGACCUCUCCUCAUAAGGACUUGGACAACUCAGAUUAUCUGAAGACACAAACCUGACAGGAGGGAGAAGAAAAAACAAAACACUUGAACCAAGAAACUCAAAUGUAAUCCUACGAUCAAAGCAACUGGUCAACACUUCCAUCAGAAGUGAAGAUAGGAAGCUCAUCAGAUAGAACAUCAGCCCAUGAGAUGUUUGCAACAAAUCUUUUGUUGCAAGCAGUGUGUCGCUUCUGCACAAUCAGAGACUGUCUCGAUCUCUCCACUCACCGUGGAAGUUGCCUUGUGCCUAAACUGAAUUGACAAAUGCAUUGUAACUACAAAUUUUAUUUAUUGUUAUGAAACUGUAAGGUCUACAUAUAAAGGG
rnacentral:sRNA from 1 species